rnacentral:lncRNA from 1 species
CUUAGGAUCAGAUGGUUAUACCCAGAUAGUAUUGACAGUUAUGGCCAGAUGGUAUUGACAGCUAUGGCUAGAUGGUAUUGACAGCUAUAGCCAGUUGGUGCCUGCCUUUUGAACCUGAGCCUGAUCAAUCUACUUUCGAGGAGAGAUCAAAGAGUAUAGCAUGCCGACUAGGAGUUCGAACUAAUAGUUUUCUGACCAACGGUCGGAUUAAACUUUUUUCAUUUAGGAUUCGGAUCAAGAACAUGCUGACAAG